UACGGAAGGCAGCAGUGGGGAAUAUUGCACAAUGGGCGCAAGCCUGAUGCAGCCAUGCCGCGUGUAUGAAAAAGGCCUUCGGGUUGUAAAGUACUUUCAGUCGUGAGGAAGGUGUUAAGGUUAAUAACCUUAGCAAUUGACGUUAGCGACAGAAGAAGCACCGGCUAACUCCGUGCCAGCAGCCGCGGUAAUACGGAGGGUGCGAGCGUUAAUCGGAAUUACUGGGCGUAAAGGGCACGCAGGCGGUUAAUUAAGUUGGAUGUGAAAUCCCCGGGCUUAACCUGGGAAUGGCAUUCAAGACUGGUUAGCUAGAGUCUUGUAGAGGGGGUAGAAUUCCAUGUGUAGCGGUGAAAUGCGUAGAGAUGUGGAGGAAUACCGGUGGCGAAGGCGGCCCCUGGACAAAGACUGACGCUCAUGUGCGAAAGCGUGGGGAGCAAAACGAGGAUUAGAUACC
rnacentral:rRNA from 1 species